rnacentral:lncRNA from 1 species
GGACACCUGCGCUCAAUAACGUUGAUAAAUUGAACGAAGCAUUUGAUAAAGCUUUAAAUAAUGGGGAUACUUUUCUGUUGCUGUUUGUGACUGCACUAAUUCUUUAUUUGAUGAAGGAUGUGCUGGUACAGUUGCAAUUUAUGUUUAUGUUGAACAUACUUCCUUAAGACAGAGUUAUGUAGCAAUUUAUGUUUAUGUUGAACAUACUUCCUUAAGACAGAGUUAUGUAAUUUAUGUUUAGCACACCAUUAGGGCUUCAGUUCAUAUGCAAACUCUCUUUUGUUUUGUUUUAGUUUUGACUUCUAUUUAUUCCUGAUUUUUAACUUCAACAUAAUUUGUUAUUAAACAAUUUUUU